rnacentral:rRNA from 1 species
ACGGGAGGCAGCAGUGGGGAAUAUUGGACAAUGGGGGAAACCCUGACGGAGCGACGCCGCGUGGACGAUGAAGGCCGGAAGGUUGUAAAGUCCUUUUAUGGCAGAGGAAUAAGCGGGGGAGUGGAAAGCCCUUGUGAUGACUGUAGGCCAUGAAUAAGCACCGGCUAAUUACGUGCCAGCAGCCGCGGUAACACGUAAGGUGCGAGCGUUGUUCGGAAUCAUUGGGCGUAAAGGGCAUGUAGGCGGUCUGUCAAGCCAGGCGUGAAAGCCAGGGGCUCAACCCCUGAACUGCGCUUGGAACUGGCGGACUGGAGUCGCUGAGGGGGAACCGGAAUUCCUGGUGUAGGGGUGAAAUCUGUAGAUAUCUGGAAGAAUACCAAUGGCGAAGGCAGCCUGCCAGCAGAUGACUGACGCUGAGGUGCGAAGGUGCGGGGAGCAAACAGGAUUAGAUACCCUGGUA